UAAUACGUAGGUGGCAAGCGUUGUCCGGAUUUAUUGGGUUUAAAGGGUGCGUAGGCGGCUUUGUAAGUCAGUGGUGAAAUAUGGCAGCUCAACUGUCAGGGUGCCAUUGAUACUGCGGAGCUUGAGUACAGAUGAGGUAGGCGGAAUUGACGGUGUAGCGGUGAAAUGCUUAGAUAUCGUCAAGAACACCGAUAGCGAAGGCAGCUUACUAGGCUGUAACUGACGCUGAGGCACGAAAGUGUGGGGAUCAAACAGGAUUAGAUA
rnacentral:rRNA from 1 species